AUUUAAUAUAUAUAAUUAUAUCAAUAGCUAUUGCUACAAGUGGUGUUGAAGAUGUUAGAACAGUGUUAGAUUUCUAUAGGCAAUUUGACGAUCCAUUAGAAGCCUUUAAAGAAAACCAAAGAAAGUUACAGGAACAAGAACGACAAAUAAAGCAAUUGCAAGAAGAGAAAAAGUCGUCAUUGACCGGAGCAUGGACAGGACGUUUCUUUAGGAGAUAAGUUUUUAAAUGUAAAAUAUGCAGUACGUUCAGUAUUGUUCAGACACAACUAAUACGAGUUUAGAUGAUAUAUUGUAUAUGUUUCUUUGAAAAUGGAAGAAUUUUAUGUUUUCUUUUUGUAAUAAAACAAGUUCAAAAUUA